rnacentral:piRNA from 1 species
UGUUAGUCUGAUGGGCUUCCCUUUGUGGG